GACGAACCGUGCGAACGUUGUUCGGAAUCACUGGGCUUAAAGGGCGUGUAGGCGGGCUGACAAGUCUGGGGUGAAAUGCCGCGGCUCAACCGUGGAACUGCCUUAGAUACUGUCGGCCUCGAGGGAGGUAGGGGCAUGCGGAACUGUAGGUGGAGCGGUGAAAUGCGUUGAUAUCUACAGGAACUCCGGUGGCGAAAGCGGCGUGCUGGACCUCUUCUGACGCUGAGGCGCGAAAGCUAGGGGAGCAAACAGG
rnacentral:rRNA from 1 species